GACGAACGCUGGCGGCGUGCCUAAUACAUGCAAGUAGAACGAUGAAGCGAGGAGCUUGCUCUUCUUUGAUGAGUUGCGAACGGGUGAGUAACGCGUAGGUAACCUGCCUUGUAGCGGGGGAUAACUAUGGGAAACGAUAGCUAAUACCGCAUAACAAUGGAUGACACAUGUCAUUUAUUUGAAAGGGGCUAUUGCUCCACUACAAGAUGGACCUGCGUUGUAUUAGCUAGUAGGUGAGGUAACGGCGCAACGAGGCGACGAUUCAUAGGCGGACUGGGGGGGGGAGCGGGCACACUGGGACUGGGACUCGGCCCCGGCCCCGACGGGAGGCAGCAGUAGGGGAUCGUCGGCAAGUGGGGCAACCCUUACCGAGCAACGGCGCCGGAGUGAAGGAGGGUUUCGGAUUCUAAAGCUCUGUUUUUUGUGAAGAACGAGUGUGAGAGGGGAAUGUGCACACUGUGACGGUAGCUUACCAGAAAGCGACGGCUAACUACGUG
rnacentral:rRNA from 1 species